UGUUAAAAACUUAAUCCAUUUGUACGGUUAAAAAUUAGUGUGAUUGACAGAAUAACAAGAGAGUAACAUGUGACAUUCGAUAUAUAUCUCAUGUUGAUGUACAAUGAUUAAUUUUUAAUAGUAGAAAUGAAUUUAAUUUUUAACA
rfam:Gossypium raimondii Chr05_contig_226, whole genome shotgun sequence.